UACGUAGGGGGCAAGCGUUGUCCGGAAUUAUUGGGCGUAAAGCGCGUGUAGGCGGCCAGAAAAGUCCGCUGUGAAAACUCGAGGCUCAACUUCGAGCUGUCGGUGGAAACUUUCUGGCUAGAGUCCGGAAGAGGAGAAUGGAAUUCCUGGUGUAGCGGUGAAAUGCGCAGAUAUCAGGAAGAACACCAAUGGCGAAAGCAGCUCUCUGGGACGGUACUGACGCUGAGACGCGAAAGCGUGGGGAGCGAACAGG
rnacentral:rRNA from 1 species